rnacentral:lncRNA from 1 species
UUUUUUUUUUAAGGCAUAUUCUCAGUUUGGGUGUGGUGGCGUGUACCUGUGGCCCUGGCUACUCAGAAGGCUGAAGAAGGAGGAUCCCUUGAGCCUGAGAGUUUGAAGCACAAGAACCAUCAAUCAGCACAGAAGACUUCUGUGACCCCAAACUAUGUGGGGAUUUCUCCCUAGCAACAAGCAAGCAAUCAGUUUGGCAACAAACACUGACUGGAUGUCUUCCAAUUCAAUUCCAACACUAUCUACCUGGAAAUAGUGUCUGAUCCCACAGGGUAAGGGCUCAGCCCCCCAAAGAUUGUCCUCUUUCCCUCUCCCAACACUGCUAGACACCAGUCACAGGUCUGGGGCCUCUGGAACUUCUGACAACUGGCUUCAAGUUGGGGUUCCCACAAUCCCUCUUGGGGUUCAAUUAAUUUGCUAUAGUGACUCACAGAACUCAGGGAAACAUGUUUACCAAUUUAUUUUAUUACAAAGGAUACAGAUGAAGAGAUGCUCAGGGUGAGGUAUGGGGGAAGGGGCACAGAACUCCCAUGCCCUCCCUGGGCGAGCUGCCCUCCAGGAACUUGCAUGUGUUCAGCUAUCCAGAAGCUCUCUAAAUCCAGUCAUCCUGGCUUUUUAUAGAAGCUUCAUGACGUUAGCAUUCCUUCCCCCAGGGUAUGGGAUGGGACCCUCUCUGGAAUGGUGGUCUUAUGACCCACAAUCAGAUUACAGACCUGCCUUGGGGCAGGUGAAAGGAACACUGGAGAAAGUCAGAGAGGCCUAACAUACCAACAUUGUAACAAAAGACUGUAACAAGGACUCUGGGAGUUAUGAGCCAGGAAUCGUAGAUGGAAACCUAUACAUAUGUGUGUAUUUAUAUCUAUUACCACAUCAAGGAAAGGUUUCACACACUGGUAUGAAACUGGAAAUAAUUAACAGGAGAAAACUUGGAAAGUUUGCAAGUAUGUGGAAUUAACACUCCUGAACAACCAAUGGGUCAAAGAAGAAAUCAGAAAUAUCUUAAGACAAAUGAAAAUGGAAACACAACAUACCGAAAUUUAUGGGAUGUGGCUAGGUGCAGUGGCUCAUGCCUGUAAUCUCAGCAUUUUGGGAGGCCAAGACUGGCACAUCACUCGAGGUCAGGAGUUCAAGACUAGCCUGGCCAACAUGGUGAAACCCCCAUCUCUACUAAAAAUACAAAAAGUAGCCUGUACUAAAAAUCUGUACUAAAAAUAUAAAACAAUUAGCUGGGCGUGGUGGCGUAUGUCUGUAAUCUCAGCUACUCAGGAGG